GAGACUCAGCCCAGACAGGCUUGGGUUUGUGUAGAGCUGAGCUCUGGUCCCAGCCAUGCUCCUGACUCAUGGUGUGGCCCCAGCAAAAGUAAUGAGGACCUGAGGCAGCAGAACUCCGAACUGGAAGAGAAACUUCGAGUCCUGGUGGCAGAGAAAGCAGCUGCACAGUUGGGGGCAGGGGAGCUGCAGAAGAAGUUAGAGAUGUCAGAGCUGCUGCUGCAACAGCUCACACUCUUGUGGGGAGCACUGCAGCAGAACAGCAUAGACUCCCAGACCCAGGCCUCUGGCGGUAAUGAGCAGUUGCAACAGGCCAUAGAGGAGCGGUCUCAGCUGGAGAGCCAUGUUGGCCAGGUGAGGAUCUGUGGGGGGAGGGGAAGGGCAUGACGCCCAAUGGCCAAGAGCCGGUGAGGACCAGUGACAGCCCUUCAUAACUCGUACAUUGACUGAUGCAGCUGAUGGAGUCGAGAGAGACCAGUAUGCAGAGAACCUGAAAGGAGAGAGUGCCAUGUGGCAGCAGAGGGUACAGCAGAUGGCAGGUGAGGCCUGGCCUCUGCUAUCUUUGCGCUUCCUGAGCAUCAACGUGGUGGAGCUGAGGGCUUAGGGGCUUCGGUUUUGCAGAGGUGGGACUGGGGAUGGGUGGGCCUGGGAUCUCCAGUACCCCCGCCCUGUGCCUUGGGCAGGUGCACGCACUGAAGGAAGAGAAGGAGCAGAGCUGGAGACCAGCUGGACAAAACUUAGGAGUUCAAUCGAGGGCAAGGUGGCAUGCCUACUGGUAGCUCCUGCAGAUGACUGAGCAUCCCAGAAUUGUACUGGAGUGGUUUGAAAUGCUUACCGCUUAUCUGAGACCCUGACAGAAAAGAAGCCAAGGCUUGGGGCAGGAGCCUGACUCACAAUGGAGCCCAAGAAGCCUAAGGUGAAUUCCUUCAGUGGGCCAGCUUCCUUUCUCAGAGAAGCUGCAAUCUCCAGAGCCUCCCCCUGGGCCCUCCAAGGCAGAAGAGUGGCUGCAGGGAGAGGUUGAGCAGCUGCAGAAGGAACUGGAGGGUCUGACAGGUCAGCUGCGGGCCCAGGUGCAGGACAAUGAGAGCCUGAGCCACCUGAACCGGGAGCGGGAGGGGCGGCUGCUGGAGCUGGAGCUGGAGAGCGAGGCCCAGCAGUGGAGCGAGCAGAUCCUGGAGAGCAUGCAGAGUGACCGCACCACUGUCACAGAACCGCGAGCUCAAGGAGCAGCUGGCUGAGCUGCAGAACGGCUUCUUCAGGCUGGUGCGGAGCCUGCAGGCCCUCCUUGCUUACAGGGAACACACUCACCCCUUUUGGUCAGCACCGGCAGAGGAUGGGGUGCUGUCCGCCUCACGUUAGGUGGUAGUGGUGAAGGCACCCCACAAUCCCGAGCCCUAGGGUGUGUGGGAAUGUUCCAGCAGCCUUCCCUACUCUGAGAGUGAGUACACAUGCAAUUCUGAGGACUUCAGCCACAUUAGGUCCUACUGACUGUUGUUUUCUGUCCAGACCAAUGAAAACAUGGAAAUUACCAGUGUGUUACAAUCAGAGCAGCAUGUCAAGAAAGAACUGGCCAGGAAGCUGGGAGAGCUUUAGGAGAGGCUGGGAGAGCUGUAGGAGAGGGUAAACCCCUGGAGGUGGAGGCAAGAAGAACUAGAGUCCAACAUUAUUACCCUUAGCUAUAUAGUGGGCUCAGCAUGAACUCCAGGAAACCCUGCCUCAAAAAAAAAAAAAAAAAAAAAAAUCACAUACGACAGGCUGGCCAGGUGACUCAGUGGAUGAAAGUGCUUGCUGCACAAACCUGGUGACACGAGUUCAAUCCCCGGAACCUAUGUAAGGUGAGAGAGAACCGAAGCCAUAAAGUGUCCUAUCUGGAAGACCGUUAGAGCAGUAAGUAAGUAGUGUGCAGGAAGGCACUCCUACUCUGCUCACCGAGACACUUCAGAGCUCUCAGGCCCUGCCUGGCCUGGCAUGUUGUCGUCCAGUUCUCUUCAGUGGGCAGUCUGCAGGGUUGAGAGUGUUCCCAGGGCACAGAGCACAAAGACUCCAUCUGGCCCCGGGCAGUGCCCAGACGCUGCCCGCCCCCUGUUUUGCACCAGCCUGAACUCUGCCUAUGUCUGCUGACCCCUGGCAUUCCUGCAGAGACCCCCACGAGGCAGAAACAGUCAGGGCUUUCAGAGUGUCUGCCCGCUGGAGGGAUGAAUAUCUCUGAGAUUAUCUGCCAUGAAUGCAGGGUGGCCCUUCACGUGACUAAGGUUGGCUGGCUCUGCCCUAGCCCUUGACGUUUGGCUCCAGAGCCCUCAUUCCAACGGGGGUUGGGGGGGGUAGGACAGAAACCUUAUUCUCUUCUUGAAAGGGAGGCCCCCAUACCCCUAUCUGUACAGAACCCUACCCCCAGCCUCAAUCACCCCUCACCCCCACACAGGGCCUGGAGUUUCCCUGUUUAUGGCUUGGCACCGGAGCAGAUCCAAAGUCAAGCUCCCCGAGCUCUUUGAAGGCGGGCAUUUAUUGGUAGGGAAAGCCACUGUUCCCAGGAUGUCCACCCAGCCUGCUCUGGCUUUUCUGGAUAAAGUCCUGAUGGGUCCUAACAGCUGCCACCGCCUGGAUAAGCCCCUCGUGGGACAGCUGGGCUUUUGGAGACUCUGCCCUGCAGAACCCGGGCAUUUGGCCUGGUCUCUAAUAUCAUUUUCCCCAUCUGUAAAGUGGGGUGAUGAUGUUCCUGAUCUCCCAGGAAUAUUCUAAGAUUAAAAUGGGUUCUUGGAUGUGAAAAGGCUCUGUGUGGGGCCCAUGGAAGACACUUAGAAAUACAAGGCACAGAGAACCCUAACUAAUCUGAAAUGCUAAACCAGGCUGGUGCCCUCUACCUGCCCUCUUAGGACCUCAGAUUAGAGCAGGGCCACUGUGAACAGUGAACAAACAUGAGAUAAGUAGACCACCGUGGUAGCCUUGCUGUCUUAAUUAAAUUUCUACUGCUGUGACG
ensembl:lncRNA